UACAGAGGGGGCAAGCGUUGUUCGGAAUUACUGGGCGUAAAGGGCGCGUAGGCGGCCUUCUAAGUCGAACGUGAAAUCCCUGGGCUCAACCCAGGAACUGCGUCCGAUACUGGAAGGCUUGAAUCCGGGAGAGGGAUGCGGAAUUCCAGGUGUAGCGGUGAAAUGCGUAGAUAUCUGGAGGAACACCGGUGGCGAAGGCGGCAUCCUGGACCGGUACUGACGCUCAGGAGCGAAAGCGUGGGGAGCGAUCCGG
rnacentral:rRNA from 1 species